rfam:Picea glauca, whole genome shotgun sequence.
AUGUACAUGCCUACAACAUAUAUUUAAUGCACCGGAUCCCAUUAGAACUCCAUAGUUAAGCACGCUUAGGUUAGAGUGGUACUGGGAUGGGUGACCACCCUGGAAGUCCUACUAUUUUACAUC